rnacentral:tRNA from 1 species
UGGGGGAUUAGCUCAGCUGGCUAGAGCACCUGAUUUGCAUUCAGGAGGUCAUCGGUUCGACUCCGAUAUCCUCCACCCA